rnacentral:lncRNA from 1 species
AAUAUCUUUGGCUUGUAGUGCAAAGAUGAACUGUUAAUGAAUAUUUUUGGCCCGUAGUGAAAAGAUAAAUUUAUUAGUAUGAUGAUGAACAGGAACUGUGAUUUGAUAUAACCAUGAUCUUUGAUGUUUCAGGUAAAGAAAGUUGAUGAAAAUUAUCUUCGUCCUAGGUGCGAAGAGGAAUUUAGAACCACAAUUAUGAUUAUGAGUUAUUCACAUGAUUGUGGACAGGAACUGUUGAUUGAUGUUACAGGAAUAAAACAUUGUUCGUGGACUUUAACAUGGAAAAUAUAAUAGACUUUAUGAUCUAUUUGACUCUUCUAAUGGAUUACUCGUUCCACUGCAACUAUGGUUGAAAAUUUUUAUCAUCUACCAUAUGUUCUAAAUCUCUGAUUUAUUACUGAAGAAGACUAUUGAUAAUUUAAUUAUCUUUAGUCAUGUUAUUCUUUACUAGGCUGGUUGUGCUCACCUUUUUGUUUCACAAUUUCUUUCAGGUAAUAAGAGUGUAGCUGGGUCGAGCGGGGGUAACAGGGGAAUAGAACGGUGGUCUAUAGCUGUUGAG